rnacentral:rRNA from 1 species
UACGUAGGGUGCGAGCAUUGUCCGGAAUUAUUGGGCGUAAAGAGCUCGUAGGCGGCUUGUCGCGUCGGAUGUGAAAGCCCGGGGCUUAACUCCGGGUCUGCAUUCGAUACGGGCAGGCUAGAGUUCGGUAGGGGAGAUCGGAAUUCCUGGUGUAGCGGUGAAAUGCGCAGAUAUCAGGAGGAACACCGGUGGCGAAGGCGGAUCUCUGGGCCGAUACUGACGCUGAGGAGCGAAAGCGUGGGGAGCGAACAGG